UGCGGCCUACGGGGGGCCGCAGUAGGGAAUUUUCGUCAAUGGGCGCAAGCCUGAACGAGCAAUGCCGCGUGAACGAGGAAGGUCUUCGGAUCGUAAAGUUCUGUUGAAGGGGAAAAAGAGCGGAGAGAGGAAAUGGUCUCCGAUUGAUAUUACCCUUCGAGGAAGUCACGGCUAACUACGUGCCAGCAGCCGCGGUAAUACGUAGGUGGCGAGCGUUAUCCGGAAUGAUUGGGCGUAAAGGGUGCGUAGGCGCCCUGCUAAGUCUGUCGUGAA
rnacentral:rRNA from 1 species